AUGGAAAAUGAUGAAGAGGUAAGAUUUCAAAGGGCUGGUAACCCACACAUUUUAUGUAGCAUUAAUCAUGUGCUCUUAAUUUUUCUGCAGCAGAACUCUGCAGCACUGUGUUCCUGCUCUGUGAUUCACGGGGCGGUGGGCGAUGGUGAGCAGCAGAGCCUGGCUGGGACCCCCCCGGCAGUGACAUGGGGGAUGCCGCGCAGCCAGCCCCAUCCACAGGAUGAGAUUUAUGGCCACGUGCCGGAGGUUUCGUGCCUCUGCUCAGAAGUGACAUUUGCGGCACGCUUCUGGGCAGUGUUGCUUCUCCAGCGUUGACCCCAGCUGAGGCAAGAACGGGACGACUCGUGACAGUGGGGUGGGACUGAAGCAGCUUUGGACUUCUGUAGGAAAAUUCAGCUCAGGGGUCCAGAAGCACUCCCCUGCAUCUGUCAGCACCUAUGUAUCGUGUAAUAAUUAAAUGAGUAAAAAAAAGAAAAUAAAAUGCAGGAGUUGAUUUGCUUCUGUUUUCUCCCACUUGUGAGGGUGUUUUUCCUGGCUGGGCUGGGGGUAUUUUCCCCUGCAGAGGGCACUCGCCAUCCACGAACCGGCACCCGGCAGUGCAGGCUGCCUGCAUCCUGAGCAGCAUCCCCCCUAAAAAAACAUGAUAUAUGUAUAUAUAUAUAUAUAAAAAUUUAAAUUAUGAAAGCAAAUUAUUCCCUUGUAGUGCAUAAGGCCAGUCGAAAGAGCAGCUGAGAUAUAAGGAGAAGGGGGGGAGGGACACACCAAAACCCAAACUAGGGGAGUGAAAGGGCCGGGAUGGAGGGUGCUGGGGCAUAGGGGUCUGGUGUGCUGCAGUAACAAAUGGCAAUAAUAAAAAAGGGUGAAAAAAGGAAAGGCUCCAUGGCUGGUUUAAAAUUUAAUAGCGUUGGGAUGAGAGAGGCAAAUGCCGUAAUUAAACCACGAUCCAAAAAAGGGAAAAGCCUACAACAGUGGGGCAAAUACAACAAAUUAUUGUUAGUCUAUAGCCACCGAAGUAUUAACUAUCAUAGCAUUUGAAAAGCAGUAUUUAUUUCAACUGUGUUUCUUUGAUGCUUAUAUAUGAGAAAGGAAUAGACUUACAAAGAGCUCAGCCCACAGAAAUAUCGGCAUCUCUUCGUGUGAGGCUCUAAAGUACAUAUCUGUGAUAAAUAAAUACUCAGCAGCCAAAUGAUAAAACAGUUUACGUAUUAAGUAUUCUGGAGUUUGUGGG
rnacentral:lncRNA from 1 species